rnacentral:rRNA from 1 species
GACGAACGCUGGCGGCGUGCUUAACACAUGCAAGUCGAACGGAAAGGCCUGCUUUCCCUUGUGGAUUGCGGGUACUCGAGUGGCGAACGGGUGAGUAACACGUGAGUGAUCUGCCCCCAACUUGGGUAUAAGCCUGGGAAACUGGGUCUAAUUCCCGAUAGGACUGCAGGGUGGUGCCUGUGGUGGAAAACGAGUUUCUAGUGGUUGGGGAUGAGCUCGCGGCCUAUCAGCUUGUUGGUGGGGUAAUGGCCUACCAAGGCGGCGACGGGUAGCCGGCCUGAGAGGGUGGACGGCCACAUUGGGACUGAGAUACGGCCCAGACUCCUACGGGAGGCAGCAGUGGGGAAUAUUGCACAAUGGGCGGAAGCCUGAUGCAGCGACGCCGCGUGGGGGAUGACGGCCUUCGGGUUGUAAACUCCUUUCGACCGCGAGGAAGCCACCUGGUUGGAAGGGUGGUGACGGUAGUGGUAGAAGAAGCACCGGCUAACUACGU